rnacentral:lncRNA from 1 species
UUGUAUUGGCCUAAAGCUUUUGUACUACGUACUUAGUUGAAAUGAAUGAAUGAAAAGUUUGUCCUUCUUUUAUUUCCUGUUCUAGUGCUCUUUUAAACGCUUGUUAAUAACAACCUUUGUAAAUGGUUUCUUGAAAAUAAAAUAAAAACAUAAAAAAAAGGAAGGCAUUUUUUACAUCCACAUGCAUUCAAUGCACAUCUUGCAUUUCUUUCCAAGAAAAUCAAAAACUCAUACACUAUACCCUUUCAUUCAGAAACACUGACUAC